rnacentral:rRNA from 1 species
AUUGAACGCUGGCGGCAUGCCUAACACAUGCAAGUCGAACGCGAAAUCACCUUCGGGUGAAAGUAGAGUGGCGGACGGGUGAGUAACGCGUGGGAAUCUGCCCAGUAGUGGGGGAUAACUCGAGGAAACUCGAGCUAAUACCGCAUACGCCCCAUGGGGGAAAGGCUUCGGCCGCUAUUGGAUGAGCCCGCGUCAGAUUAGCUAGUUGGUAGGGUAAAGGCCUACCAAGGCAACGAUCUGUAGCUGGUCUGAGAGGACGAACAGCCACACUGGGACUGAGACACGGCCCAGACUCCUACGGGAGGCAGCAGUGGGGAAUAUUGGACAAUGGGCGAAAGCCUGAUCCAGCAAUGCCGCGUGUGUGAAGAAGGCCUGCGGGUUGUAAAGCACUUUCAGUUGGGAAGAU